rnacentral:rRNA from 1 species
UACGGAGGGAGCUAGCGUUGUUCGGAAUUACUGGGCGUAAAGCGCGCGUAGGCGGCUUUGUAAGUUAGAGGUGAAAGCCCGGGGCUCAACCCCGGAACUGCCUUUAAGACUGCAUCGCUUGAAUCCGGGAGAGGUGAGUGGAAUUCCGAGUGUAGAGGUGAAAUUCGUAGAUAUUCGGAAGAACACCAGUGGCGAAGGCGACUCGCUGGACAAGUAUUGACGCUGAGGUGCGAAAGCGUGGGGAGCAAACAGG